UGGGGAAUCUUCCGCAAUGGACGCAAGUCUGACGGAGCAACGCCGCGUGAGUGAAGAAGGCUUUCGGUUCGUAAAACUCUGUUGUUAGAGAAGAACAGCGCAUAGAGUAACUGUUAUGCGAGUGACGGUAUCUAACCAGAAAGCAACGGCUAACUACGUGCCAGCAGCCGCGGUAAUACGUAGGUGGCAAGCGUUGUCCGGAUUUAUUGGGCGUAAAGCGAGCGCAGGCGGUCAAUUAAGUCUGAUGUGAAAGCCCCCGGCUCAACCGGGGAAGGGCAUUGGAAACUGGUAGGCUUGAGUGCAGAAGAGGGGGGUGGAAUUCCAUGUGUAGCGGUGAAAUGCGUAGAUAUAUGGAGGAACACCAGUGGCGAAGGCGAUUCCCUGGGCUGUAACCGACGCUGAGGCACGAAAGCGUGGGUAGCAAACAGG
rnacentral:rRNA from 1 species